CUGAUGCAGCGACGCCGCGUGAGGGAUGACGGCCUUCGGGUUGUAAACCUCUUUCAGCAGGGAAGAAGCGAAAGUGACGGUACCUGCAGAAGAAGCGCCGGCUAACUACGUGCCAGCAGCCGCGGUAAUACGUAGGGCGCAAGCGUUGUCCGGAAUUAUUGGGCGUAAAGAGCUCGUAGGCGGCUUGUCGCGUCGGUUGUGAAAGCCCGGGGCUUAACCCCGGGUCUGCAGUCGAUACGGGCAGGCUAGAGUUCGGUAGGGGAGAUCGGAAUUCCUGGUGUAGCGGUGAAAUGCGCAGAUAUCAGGAGGAACACCGGUGGCGAAGGCGGAUCUCUGGGCCGAUACUGACGCUGAGGAGCGAAAGCGUGGGGAGCGAACAGGAUUAGAUACCCUGGUAGUCCACGCCGUAAACGGUGGGCACUAGGUGUGGGCAACAUUCCACGUUGUCCGUGCCGCAGCUAACGCAUUAAGUGCCCCGCCUGGGGAGUACGGCCGCAAGGCUAAAACUCAAAGGAAUUGACGGGG
rnacentral:rRNA from 1 species